rnacentral:rRNA from 1 species
UAACCUGCCCAAGAGACUGGGAUAACACCUGGAAACAGAUGCUAAUACCGGAUAACAACACUAGACGCAUGUCUAGAGUUUGAAAGAUGGUUCUGCUAUCACUCUUGGAUGGACCUGCGGUGCAUUAGCUAGUUGGUAAGGUAACGGCUUACCAAGGCAAUGAUGCAUAGCCGAGUUGAGAGACUGAUCGGCCACAUUGGGACUGAGACACGGCCCAAACUCCUACGGGAGGCAGCAGAU